AUUGAACGCUGGCGGCAGGCCUAACACAUGCAAGUCGAGCGGAGCGGCGGACGGGUGAGUAAUGCCUAGGAAUCUGCCUGGUAGUGGGGGAUAACGUCCGGAAACGGGCGCUAAUACCGCAUACUAUCAGAUGAGCCUAGGUCGGAUUAGCUAGUUGGUGGGGUAAAGGCCUACCAAGGCGACGCUCCGUAACUGGUCUGAGAGGAGGAUCAGUCACCCUGGAAUGGAGAUACGGGCCAGACUCGUCCGGGAGGGAGCAGAGGGGAAUGUUGGACAAGGGGCGAAAGACGGAUCCAGCCAUGCCGAGUGUGUGAAGAAGGUCUUCGGAUUGUAAAGCAAUUUAAGUUGGGAGGCGUUACCGACAGAAUAAGCACCGGCUAACUUCGUGCCAGCAGCCGCGGUAAUUC
rnacentral:rRNA from 1 species